rnacentral:lncRNA from 1 species
GCCUAUAUUUUUCAUACUUAAUCUUAAGUGACUAAAGUAUCCGUUUAAAACAUGCGUCUGGCGUACCAAAUUAUAUUUGCGGUAUCAUAGAUGAGUUCCCACUGCAAGUUUGGAUUUUGUGCCUUCAGGACCACUUGAUUUCACUGCAUGUCUUAUGAGGGAGUGUGUCUUGUUAUCUGUAUUUUCAUUUUUUUCUCUUUUCCCUUUACAAUUGAUUUUAAAUUUUCGUCACAAUGUCCUUAUAAUUUCUUUUUCUGAAUGUCUGUUUUCGUAUCUAACACUGGUGUUUGUUUGUAAGAAGACGCGGCAUGAUUGUCAAU